AGUCACUGACAUUAGAUACCCCGUGUAGUCCCAGCCCUAAACGAUGCGCGUUAGGUGUAUCGGUGACCACGAGUCACCGAGGUGCCGAAGGGAAACCGUGAAACGUGCCGCCUGGGAAGUACGGUCGCAAGGCUGAAACUUAAAGGAAUUGGCGGGGGAGCACAACAACGGGUGGAGCUUGCGGUUUAAUUGGAUUCAACGCCGGAAAUCUUACCGGGACCGACAGCAACAUGAAGGCCAGGCUGAAGACUUUGCCGGAUUUAGCUG
rnacentral:rRNA from 1 species